rnacentral:tRNA from 1 species
GGCGGUGUGGCUCAGCUUGCUGGAGGAUUCGGUUCAUACCCGAAAGGUCGUGGGUUCGACUCCCUCCGCCGCUA